rnacentral:rRNA from 1 species
AAUGAACGUUGGCGGCGUGGAUUAGGCAUGCAAGUCGAGCGCGAACCUCGCAAGAGGUAAGAGCGGCGAAAGGGAGAGUAACGCGUGGGUAUCUACCCUCGGGACUGGGAUAGCUGCGGGAAACUGCAGGUAAUACCAGAUGACGUCCCCGGACCAAAGGUGUGAUUCCGCCUGAGGAUGAGCCCGCGUCCUAUUAGCUUGUUGGUGGGGUAAUGGCCUACCAAGGCAAUGAUGGGUACUGGGUGUGAGAGCACGACCCAGCUCACUGGGACUGAGACACUGCCCAGACACCGACGGGUGGCUGCAGUCGAGAAUCUUCGGCAAUGGGCGAAAGCCUGACCGAGCGACGCCGCGUGUGGGAUGAAGGCCUUCGGGUUGUAAACCGCUGUCAGAGGGGAGGAAUGGGCGGAGGGUAAUCUCUUCGUUUUGACCUAUCCUCAGAGGAAGUACGGGCUAAGUUCGUGCCAGCCGCCGCCGUAGUAC